rnacentral:rRNA from 1 species
UCUCCUACGGGACGCAGCAGUGGGGAAUAUUGGACAAUGGGGGGAACCCUGAUCCAGCGACGCCGCGUGAGUGAAGAAGUAUUUCGGUAUGUAAAGCUCUAUCAGCAGGGAAGAAAGAAAUGACGGUACCUGACUAAGAAGCCCCGGCUAACUACGUGCCAGCAGCCGCGGUAAUACGUAGGGGGCAAGCGUUAUCCGGAUUUACUGGGUGUAAAGGGAGCGUAGACGGUUCUGCAAGUCUGAAGUGAAAGCCCGUGGCUUAACCGCGGAACGGCUUUGGAAACUGUGGAACUGGAGUGCUGGAG